AAAUAACAGAAGCUAAGGUAUAGUUUGGGUGCCUUUUUCCGGGCUAUAUUCGAAAACCAACAAAAAGCUAAGCAUGUAGAAAGCAUAUGGAUUCCGUGUUUGGACCAGGGUUCGAUUCCCUACUACUCCACCC
rnacentral:tmRNA from 1 species